AAUUAUCAGCCUGUAUUUCUUAUAAUGAUAGGUUACCUAGAUCUAGUUCCAUAGAUUUAUAGGAGAACCCCUGCUAGGUGUUGUUCAAUUUCUUGUUUUUAUCGAUAAAUCUAGCAGAGUUGUAUUAACUGAUUCAUGUAGAAAGGGAUUGAAAAAAAAAAACAAAAAAAGGAAAAAUAAAUAGGCCACACAAGCAGGUGCUAGAAGAAAGUAGCGGUACAAUUGUAAUAAAAGACUGGGAUCAGAGGCAAUAGGUUUUAUCACGAGAAAAGGGAAAAAAAACAAAAAACAAAAAACAAAAAGAAGAAGAAGAAGAAGAAGUAGAAGAAGAAGACAAAGAAGAAGAAGGAGAACCUAGUAUAGCUGCUAGCUGCUGUCCAAACUCCAGAUUCAGGAGCAGUAAAUGGUUGUAUUUGCAAGAACGUCUUGUAGCAGGUUCAUGAUCAAGGGUCCAAUAUGAACUGAUGAUGCCUGAAAACAUAAUAGAAGGGAACUGAAGACAAGCUGGAAAUUGGAGCAUUAACAAACAUUUUCCAAGCAGCAGUUCAUCACCUCGAGAAGGUAUAGAUGCCGGUAAUUAGUACUGAAUUUUUCACCGAAUCUUCCUAUUAAAACUCGCAAAAUUUUAAUAUCUUGGGGUAAGGUCAUUUUUUAAUGUUUUAUUUCCUGCGUUAAGAUACUUAUAAUGGGAG
rnacentral:lncRNA from 1 species